rnacentral:rRNA from 1 species
UGCGAAGGGGGCUAGCGUUGUUCGGAAUUACUGGGCGUAAAGCGUGCGUAGGCGGUUCGGAAAGAGAGGUGUGAAAUCCCAGGGCUUAACCUUGGAACUGCACUUUUAACUACCGGGCUAGAGUACGUCAGAGGGGGGUAGAAUUCCACGUGUAGCAGUGAAAUGCGUAGAGAUGUGGAGGAAUACCGAUGGCGAAGGCAGCCCCCUGGGAUGAUACUGACGCUCAUGCACGAAAGCGUGGGGAGCAAACAGG